rnacentral:rRNA from 1 species
GCGGCGUGCCUAAUACAUGCAAGUCGAGCGGACAGAUGGGAGCUUGCUCCCUGAUGUUAGCGGCGGACGGGUGAGUAACACGUGGGUAACCUGCCUGUAAGACUGGGAUAACUCCGGGAAACCGGGGCUAAUACCGGAUGGUUGUUUGAACCGCAUGGUUCAGACAUAAAAGGUGGCUUCGGCUACCACUUACAGAUGGACCCGCGGCGCAUUAGCUAGUUGGUGAGGUAACGGCUCACCAAGGCGACGAUGCGUAGCCGACCUGAGAGGGUGAUCGGCCACACUGGGACUGAGACACGGCCCAGACUCCUACGGGAGGCAGCAGUAGGGAAUCUUCCGCAAUGGACGAAAGUCUGACGGAGCAACGCCGCGUGAGUGAUGAAGGUUUUCGGAUCGUAAAGCUCUGUUGUUAGGGAAGAACAAGUGCCGUUCAAAUAGGGCGGCACCUUGACGGUACCUAACCAGAAAGCCACGGCUAACUACGUGCCAGCAGCCGCGGUAAUACGUAGGUGGCAAGCGUUGUCCGGAAUUAUUGGGCGUAAAGGGCUCGCAGGCGGUUUCUUAAGUCUGAUGUGAAAGCCCCCGGCUCAACCGGGGAGGGUCAUUGGAAACUGGGGAACUUGAGUGCAGAAGAGGAGAGUGGAAUUCCACGUGUAGCGGUGAAAUGCGUAGAGAUGUGGAGGAACACCAGUGGCGAAGGCGACUCUCUGGUCUGUAACUGACGCUGAGGAGCGAAAGC